rnacentral:rRNA from 1 species
GAUAACUUCGGGAAACUGAGGGUAAACGAUGAUAGGGGAUUGUUCCUGGAAUGGUCUUUCUCUGAAACUUGCGCUAUAGGAUGGGGCGGCGGCCGAUUAGGUAGUUGGUGGUGUAAUGGACCACCAAGCCAACGAUCGGUACGGGCCUUGAGAGAGGUAGCCCGGAGAGGAACACUGAGAAACUGGUUCCAGCCCUACGGGGUGCAGCAGGCGCGAAACCUUUACAAUGCACGCAAGUGUGAUAAGGGGAUCCUAAGUGCUUAUACAUUGUAUAGGCUUUUGUUAAGAGUAAAUAUCUUAGCGAAUAAGUGGUGGGUAAGACUGGUGCCAGCCGCCGCGGUAACACCAGCGCCACAAGUGGCAACCACGUUUAUUGGGCCUAAAGCGUCCGUAGCCGGUUUGGUAAAUCUCUUGUGAAAUCGACAGGCUCAACCUGUCGGCGUGCUUGAGACACUGCCAAACUCGAGACCGGGAGGAGUCAGAGGUAUUCCAGGGGGAGCGGUAAAAUGUGAUAAUCCUUGGAGGACCAUCUAUGGCGAAGGCAUCUGACCAGAACGGAUCUGACGGUGAGGGACGAAGGCUAGGGGAGCGAUCCGGAUUAGAUACCCGAGUAGUCCUAGCAGUAAACGCUGUGAGCAAGAUGUUACGCAUCUCUUGAGGAUGUGUAGUGUCGAAAUGAAGAUGUUAAGCUCACCGCCUGGGAAGUACGGUCGCAAGACUGAAACUUUAAGGAAUUGGCG